rnacentral:misc_RNA from 1 species
AACUUUUGACAAUGGAUCACUUGGUUCUGGCAUCGAUGAAGAACGCAGCGAAAUGCGAUACGUAAUGUGAAUUGCAGAAUUCAGUGAAUCAUCGAAUCUUUGAACGCACCUUGCGCCCCUUGGUAUUCCGAGGGGCACACCCGUUUGAGUGUCGUGAAUACUCUCAACCUUCUUGGUUUCUUUUACCACGAAGGCUUGGACUUUGGAGGUUUUUCUUGCUGGCCUCUUUAGAAGCCAGCUCCUCCUAAAUGAAUGGGUGGGGUCCGCUUUGCUGAUCCUCGACGUGAUAAGCAUUUCUUCUACGUCUCAGUGUCAGCUCGGAACCCGCUUUCCAACCGUCUUUGGACAAAGACAAUGUUCGAGUUGCGACUCGACCUUACAAACCUUGACCUCAAAUCGGGUGAGACUACCCGCUGAACUUAAGCAUAUCAAUAAGCGGAGGCU